AGCGGGUGUAGUUUAGUGGUAAAANUACAGCCUUCCAAGCUGUUGUCGCGAGUUCGAUUCUCGUCACCCGCUU
rnacentral:tRNA from 1 species